rnacentral:rRNA from 1 species
AAACGCUGAAGGCAUCUAAGCGUGAAGCCCCCCUCAAGAUGAGAUGUCCCAUUCGAAAGAAGUAAACCCCCUUGAAGACGACGAGGUAGAUAGGGCAGGGGUGGAAGUGCAGUAAUGCACGGAGCUGACUGUUACUAAUAGGGUGAGGGCUUGACCAA